rnacentral:rRNA from 1 species
UACGUAGGUGGCGAGCGUUGUCCGGAUUUAUUGAGCGUAAAGAGCUCGUAGGCGGCUUGUUGCGUCGGCUGUGAAAACCCGCGGCUUAACUGUGGGCUUGCAGCUGAUACGGGCAGGCUAGAGUUCGGUAGGGGAGACUGGAAUUCCUGGUGUAGCGGUGAAAUGCGCAGAUAUCAGGAGGAACACCUGCGGCGAAGGCGGGUUGCUGGGCUGACACUGACGCUGAGGCGCGAAAGCUAGGGGAGCGAACGGG